rnacentral:lncRNA from 1 species
UCGCGUCCAUCCUGCUUUGUGUAUUACGAGUCACGAUUCGAUCGGACGUGCUUGUGCAGCGUAAAAUUCAAUGAAUUGGUCUUUCAAACAUCUUUAUGUUAUUCUCUAGUCAUCUGACUUGUUUAGCUAGUCUUGGAAGAAGAAAAUGAGACUUGAAGAUAAUGAGUGGAAGUUCUUCUCUUCCACCAUUCAGUCUAGUUUCUCAUUCUUGGUUCACCCUUCUUAGUCUUUUGGAUCUGUGUAUAUAGAAGAAUAAUUUCACAUGGCAUAGGGUUGCAAGAAGCUAGUCUUUCUGUAUUUGAACUGAUUGAGCUAAUCCGAGUGUAAAGGUCACCGUGAUUGGAUUUCCGCUGUGUGAUUUUUUCUGUCAGCAGUAAUUUUUUGUAGCUUGCUAAAAGAGCCAACUAAGAGAUUAUAGCUUCCAAUAUAGAAGGGGGAGGUGGGGGAUUUAAUCCCCCACUUUCUCGAGAGGGUGAGAUGGGGACGAUUUAGUUUCAAGUGUGGGUUUUGAUUUUCAUGUAAGGAGGUAGGAUAAAAAUCUAAAAAUGAUUAGUUUCAAGUGUGGGUUUUGAUUUUCACGUAAGGAGGUAGGAUAAAAAUCUAAAAAUGAGAAUUAGAGUAGAAGUAGAGUAUGAUUAAUUAGAAAAAAAAAAAAAACCUUAGAGAUUAUAGCAUGUUAUCAUUCAUUUGUGAAUACAUAUUCUCUGAGUGGCUCCAUUCACUCGUUACAUUAGUUGAUGGGUUUCAAUUCCUGCAUCUACCUUCGCAUGCAGCCAACCUUCCAAGUGGUUCAACCCCUCAAUGGUGACCCUUUCAUUGGAAGCCUCGAGACUCCGGUCACAUCCAGCCCGCUCAUUGCAUGGUACCUCUCCAACCUCCCCGCCUACAGGACUGCCGUGAACCCGCUCCUCCGAGGCGUCGAGGUGGGCCUCGCCCACGGAUUCCUCUUGGUGGGCCCUUUCGUCAGGCCGGCCCUUUGAGACACGAGUAUGCAGAGCAGCAGAUCAUUGGCCGCCGAGCCUGUGUGAUCCUGAGCAUCUGCUUGANNNNNNNNNNNNNNNNNNNNNNNNNNNNNNNNNNNNNNNNNNNNNNNNNNNNNNNNNNNNNNNNNNNNNNNNNNNNNNNNNNNNNNNNNNNNNNNNNNNNGUGUGGGGGUUGUUUUCCAAACAUUGUGGAUGUUUUCCCCCAACGCAAUGGCAGUUCAAAACAUGACGUGAAAGUGGGUAAAAGUCGUGAUUUCUGACUGAUGCAUUAUUGGGUGUCUUGGCUUGGCCAUGAGGGCCUUUUGCCGAAGUGGAUAAGAUGGGAUAAGGUCACGGCCACCAUCCAACCAAUCAAGCCCCUCCAACCUUACACUUCACUCCUCUCCGACCACAAGAUUUCAUGCAAUAGAUCCUCUCACCCUGCUCCCAAAAUCUAACUCAACCCUCUUCUCCGUUAUAUACCUGCACGCUUUUUUCCUCCCGAAGAAUCUUCUCCUCUUUUUGAGUUGUCAGGAGAGGAGCUGCAGAAGGGAAAAUGGCUGCCGCAACCGCAUCUCCCAUGGCCAGUCAGCUCAAGAGCAGCUUUGCAUCAUCAUCGUCCAGGAGCCUGAUUGCUCCCAAGGGCCUCUCUGGUUCCUCCUUCAGAGCCUUGCCCACCAGGAGGACUCGCUCCUUCACUGUCAAGGCUAUCCAAUCCGAGAAGGUGAGUCUUCUCGCGUCCAUCCUGCCUUGUGUAUCACGAGUCACGAUUCGAUCGAACGUGCUUGUGCCGCGUAAAAUCAAGGAAUUGGUCUUUCAGACAUCUUUAUGUUAUUCUCUAGUCAUCUGACUUGUUUAGCUAGUCUUGGAAGAAGAAAAUGAGACUUGAAGAUAAUGAGUGGAAGUGCCUUCUCUUCCACCAUUCAGUCUAGUUUCUCAUUCUUGGUUCACCCUUCUUAGUCCUUUGGAUCUGUGUAUAUAGAAGAAUAAUUUCACAUGGCAUAGGGUUGCAAGAAGCUGGUCUUUUUGUAUUUGAACUGAUUGAGCUAAUCCGAGAGUAAAGGUCACCGUGAUUGGAUUUCUGCUGUGUGAUUUUUUCUGUAGUGAUAAUUUUUUGUAGCUUGCUAAAAGAGUCAACUAAGAGAUUAUAGCUUCCAAUAUGGAAGAGGGGUGAGGGGUUCGAAUCUCACUUCUUUAUCGAGAAGGUGAGAUGGGAACGAUUUAGUUUCAAAUAUAAGUUUUGAUCUCAUGCCCUUGCAAGAAAGCGAGACAAAAGUCUGAGAGUGAAUUAGAGUAGGAGUAGAGUAGGAUCGACAAAAAACAAAAAGAAAAACUAAGAGAUUAUAGCAUGCUAUCAUUCAUUUGCAAAUACAUAUUCUCUGAGUGACUUCAUUCACUCAUUACAUUAGUUGAUGGGUUUCAAUUCCUGCAUCUACCUUUUGCAUGCAGCCAACCUUCCAAGUGGUUCAACCCCUCAAUGGUGACCCUUUCAUUGGAAGCCUCGAGACUCCGGUCACAUCCAGCCCGCUCAUUGCAUGGUAC